rnacentral:rRNA from 1 species
AGGACGAACGCUGGCGGCGUGCUUAACACAUGCAAGUCGAGCGGAAAGGCCCUUCGGGGUACUCGAGCGGCGAACGGGUGAGUAACACGUGAGCAACCUGCCCUUAGCUCUGGGAUAGCUCCGGGAAACCGGAAUUAAUACCGGAUAUUACAUCGGCCGACAUCGGCUGAUGUGGAAAGAUUUAUCGGCUAAGGAUGGACUCGCGGCCUAUCAGCUAGUUGGUGGGGUAGAAGCCUACCAAGGCGACGACGGGUAGCCGG